rnacentral:rRNA from 1 species
UACGGGGGGAGCAAGCGUUGUUCGGAUUUACUGGGCGUAAAGGGCGCGUAGGCGGUCAGCACAAGUCAGCUGUGAAAUCUCCGAGCUUAACUCGGAAAGGUCAACUGAUACUGUGCGACUAGAGUGCAGAAGGGGCAACUGGAAUUCUCGGUGUAGCGGUGAAAUGCGUAGAUAUCGAGAGGAACACCUGCGGCGAAGGCGGGUUGCUGGGCUGACACUGACGCUGAGGCGCGAAAGCCAGGGGAGCAAACGGG